UUAAAGAUCAAUAAAUUUUAUUUAAUCCUAAAGGAAUGUUACGAUAACAUGUUCGAUAAAAUUUUAAGUGGAAUAAAAGUUUUUAUCAGUGAAAGAAUUCCAUGAUUUCUGAUAGUGAAAUGAGAUAAAUUAAUGUGCGAGUGAUUAGUGGAAUUUUUUAGAAAGAAAUUACGAAUUAGAUAAUUUUUUUUUUUUUGAUUUCAAUUUAUAAAUCAAAAAUUAAGUAUAUAUUUUCUAUUAUUAUUAUUAUUUCUUUUUUUAAAUAAACAAUAAUAAAAAUUCCAUAAAUAUUCAUACGUUCAUUUAUCAAUGCCAAUUGCCCAAAUUUCUAUUAUCAUAUUUUCUACAUCGAUCUAAACCACGAAUCCCAAAAAUAGCACGAAUCCUAAAAAUACACAACAGAUAAUGUCAAUGUAACUUAUAUAAGAAAGAAAGAAAAAAAAUUUCGAGAUCCAUUACGGUUAUCUAUUUUUCGACACUACCGCCUUAUUUAUAACUCGUUUCGUAGAAUAUUUGCAUAUACGUAUCCUUGAGAAGAAGAAGAAGAAGAAGAAGUAGAAGAAGAAGAAGAAGAAGAAGAAGAAGAAGAAGAAAUGAAGAAAUUCCAUUUAUAAUCCCGCUCGAGUCUAACGCGUAGAAAUACAUACAUUUUGAAUGGACUAUAAAUAUUAAAAUAGGAUCGCGUAACGUCGCUUUGUACGAUCGUGAUUUUAUUGAGAUCACGAUAAUUAUGCGUGGUCCGGGUGACGGAACAACGUGAUUCUCUCGUUCUUUUAUCGAAAACAUGUGUUUACACACGUUUCACGUAGGUAUAAUAAUGAAAUUCUAACGAAUGGGACGCACAAACGAUAAUAAUACGAUAAACUGUAGUAUUAGUACACUGCGCACGGUAAAUGCCACGGUAAACGGUAAUGGUGGUAAUGGUGGUAUGGUGAAGGUACCGGUCACUACCCAUUUUCUCGAACGUAUAUUACUAAGUUCAAUACGGCAUGAUUGAAUGGCGGCAACAUCGUAUUAAAUGUGACGCGAUUACGGUAAAUACGAAGGAAAGGAAUAAUAGAACGAUGUUGCUUGCUACUUUGAAAAGAUACUAUGAAACUGUAUCGUAUUUGAAGUUGCAUUAUAUACAAGUAACAAUACUGUGCCUCGAUUGAAACAGUAUAUGCGAAGAAGAAAUAAGUAUUAAUUUUUUAUUUGAUUAAUUUAAAAAGAAGAAGAAGAAGAAGAAGAAGAAGAAGUUGCAUCGAUGUAAAAGUUAGAAUAAAAAAAGGGGGGAGGCAAAUAAAUAAUAAUAAAUCCGUUAAAUCUAAAAAAACUAAUUAAAAAUCAAAGAGAAAUAACGCCACGUUAAGCAUAAUAUAAUAUCCAAAACAAACAUUCCGUUAUAAAUAGAUUACUAUGCAAGAUAUAUAUAAUGGUAUCAUAAAAUAGAUUGAUAUACACUGAGCGUAAUGCAACACUGUGCCAAUUAUAAAAGUAGCGGUUGAACAAUCAAUUUGUUAGAUUACAUUAAUUUGUGAGAUUAUAUCGUCAGAUAUACGGGUUUGGAUAAAUUGGUGAAAAUAUAACGUAAAGAAGAUAUCAAAAAUAAAUGAUCACCGUCACCGUCUAAAAAUUAUACCAAACUGUAAGAGAUCAAAUACGUAUGAUUCAUUAGCAAGUAUGCCAAUUACAAUGUGUAAUGGCCAAGACACACGUGCGAGACACGUGUAAAACGUACUGUUCAACGUACUAUCGCGGCUCAAGAAUUCUCAUUUUCUCUACCCGGCACAAGUUUCGCAAGCCUCGCGAUACAUUCCAGCCUCUCGACCGCGAAAUAACACGAAACGCCUCCAGUUGACAAAAACGAAAGUUACAAGAAUCGAAAGAUUAUUAAUCGUGCCAAAUAUAGAACGAUAUAUACGUAUAUAUUCCUCCUACUCUUCGACGACUCUUCGACGCGGUCGCAUCGAAAGAAAAAAGGAUGUACGAUCAAAAGGGCGGAAUACCUUAAUCGGAUUUGCAAGGAUCGAAUGGAAAAAAUGGAAAAAAAAUAAACGCUUUGGUACAUUAUCGGUAUCGAGCAUCGAUUCGAAGAUGAUAGAAUCGAUAAGCGAUAAUUCGUAUCGAUAAGUACAAUUGGAUAGUGGAAAUCGGUGCAAUCGUUUCUUUCCACCGAGGAUUAAUGAGAUUAAUUGAUUAUAUCUCAAAGAAAUCAUUUUUCACGCGAUGAUUAUGUAAUAUUGUGUAUAUAAUAUUAUUAUAAAAAGUAUUUACUGGCUAUACUUUCAGAGAAAUAUUCAGAGAUAUCGAUGAUAAAGGUAAUAAAGAUAAUAAUAAUAUUUCCUAGUAUCGGUCAAAUAAAAAGAAAAUACGUGAUUCAAUUAAUCCGUGUUUUUUUUAAGCUAUGUGAUUUUGAUUGAAAAACUGGAUUAAAUGGAAAUUGUCGUUUAUAUCACGUAAUUAAUAACUCGUUAUAGAUUAGUGUAUCGAGAAGCGAGAUACAUUUUCUUGAAUUAUUUUAUUUUUCCUUUUUCACCUUUCUUCUUUCGCGUUCUCUAUUUUCUCUUCGAUCAAAUCAAUCUUUGAAACUAGGUUUUGAUAUUGAAAACCAAUCGAAUAUUUUCCCCGAUUCAGAUAAUGGCGAAACCGGUUCGAUUUUACUUCUCACGCACGAAUGGGAUAUGUUUUAUUGCAGGAAAAAUUAUCUUCCACUUCCCGAACCGAUACAGCAACACUUUAUUUCCUGUCGUAGCCGGAUUAAACCGAUUUCGAUCGGUUUAUUCGAGUUAUACAACAAAUCGUAAUGCGACAUUCAAUCGAUUGUCCAAUUAACAACUUCCGUUAGAAGUUCUUUGAAAUUUAUUCCUUUUUUUUUUUUUUCUAUUUUAUUCUCAAAUUACAGAACGACGAAUCUUAAUUAAUCGAUUAAAAAAAAUUCA